rnacentral:rRNA from 1 species
UGCGCAGGUGGUUUUAUAAGUCAGUGGUGAAAGUCUGUCGCUUAACGUCAGGAUUGCCAUUGAUACUGUAGGACUUGAGUAUGGAUGAGGUAGGCGGAAUGUGUAGUGUAGCGGUGAAAUGCAUAGAUAUUACACAGAACUCCGAUUGCGAAGGCAGCUUACUAAUCCAUCACUGACGCUGAGGCACGAAAGCGUGGGGAGCAAACAGGAUUAGAUACCCUGGUAGUCC